rnacentral:rRNA from 1 species
UACGUAGGGUGCAAGCGUUGUCCGGAAUUAUUGGGCGUAAAGAGCUCGUAGGCGGUCUGUCGCGUCUGCUGUGAAAAUCCAGGGCUCAACCCUGGACCUGCAGUGGGUACGGGCAGACUAGAGUGCGGUAGGGGAGAUCGGAAUUCCUGGUGUAGCGGUGAAAUGCGCAGAUAUCAGGAGGAACACCGGUGGCGAAGGCGGAUCUCUGGGCCGUAACUGACGCUGAGGAGCGAAAGCAUGGGGAGCAAACAGG